rnacentral:rRNA from 1 species
GUCUACGACCAUACCACCCUGAACGCACCCAAUCUCGUCUGAUCUUAGAAGCUAAGCAGGGUUGGGCCUGGUUAGUACUUGGAUGGCAGAAAUACCAGUCAACC